rnacentral:rRNA from 1 species
UACGUAGGGUGCGAGCGUGUCCGGAAUUAUUGGGCGUAAAGGGCUCGUAGGCGGUCUGUCGCGUCGGGAGUGAAAACUCAGGGCUUAACCCUGAGCCUGCUUCCGAUACGGGCAGACUAGAGGUAUGCAGGGGAGAACGGAAUUCCUGGUGUAGCGGUGGAAUGCGCAGAUAUCAGGAGGAACACCGGUGGCGAAGGCGGUUCUCUGG